rnacentral:rRNA from 1 species
GACGUAGGUGGCGAGCGUUGUUCGGAAUCACUGGGCAUAAAGCGCACGUAGGCGGCCCAAGUCAGUCAGGUGUGAAAUACCUCGGCUCAACCGAGGAACUGCGCCUGAUACUGCUUGGCUUGAGGUCCGGAGGGGAGAGUGGAAUUCCCGGUGGAGCGGUGAAAUGCGUAGAGAUCGGGAAGAACGCCGGCGGCGAAAGCGACUCUCUGGUCGGAAUCUGACGCUGAGGUGCGAAAGCUAGGGAGAAGCAACGGG